GCCUUCGUGGUGUAGUGGUCAGCACGCUCGGCGCGUAUUCGAGAGGUCCGAGGUUCGAGUCCCGGCGAGGCA
rnacentral:tRNA from 1 species